AAACAACUAGUCCACCUACAGGUAAACAACUAGUCCACCUACAGGUAAACAACUAGUCCACCUACAGGUAAACAACUAGUCCACCUACAGGUAAUCAUGUCAACAACUAGUCCACCUACAGGUGAACAACACACCCCUGACAGGGCAUUCAGCAUUCACCUGUUGACACACUGAUGUCAACAUCAGCACAGUUGGAGAAACUGGAGAGAACAUGGCACAUCCACCAGGCAUGUUCAGGCAUAUUUAACAAGACACUCCAUCCACAGAUAACUUUACACAACACAUAACCACUAAUAACCCGUUCUGGCUUCAUGUACAGGGUAGAGGACAGUGAGGCAAUGGUAGUGAGAGAGAGAGAGAAGGAAAAGAGAGUGUGUGUAGCGUCCAGGCUAAAGUGCAUGUAUCAGAUGAGUCUCUCCUCCUUGGGCAGGGGCAGGCCUGGUCUCUCAGCCCCCCGUGGUCCGGUCUGUUUGCUCUCCUCCGCACUGGGCCGAUACAUUCCCUCCAUCCUUCUCUUCUUCCUGAUCACACAGCCCAUCAGGACCAGGGCCAGGCACAGCAGUAGGGCCAGGCCUGGGACUAACACAGACCACAACCCCCACGACGGCCUUGGUAACGACAACACCAUUUCCAUGACGACGGGCCCUGAGUCAGAGAGAGAGGAGGAGGAUGACAGAGAGAAGCAGGUACACAGGCAGACAGAUACACAGACCGUAGGCAGACAGAUACACAGACCGUAGGUAGACAGAUACACAGACCGUAGGUAGACAGAUGUCUCACUCACCUGAGGGUUAGAGGAGACACUGCUGGUCUCUGCUCUCACAUCUGGACCAAUGGGGACACAGCAGCCAGACUGCCAGUGAGGGGUGCCUGUCUCUAGAGAGAGAGUGUAGGAGAGCAGCCAUGAGCCAGGCCGGUGAAUUCAGCCCCUUUGAGGCAGUGUGUCUGUCCAAGUCUACGGAACACAUCAGCAUAGAAACUAUGGCUGUGUUCGAUCCAAACCGCAAUGUAUCAUGGGUCAAUUCUGACCGACUGACUGAUCUACAAAUAAUAUUGAGUAGUUAUUUGUGAUCCAAGG
ensembl:lncRNA